AUGGACUGUGGCCUCCUGGACUUGGGCUUCUCGGGCCCCAAAUACACCUGGUGCAAUCGACAGGACCCUGGUUCUCAUGUUCGGUGCCGGCUUGAUCGUGCCUUGGCUAAUAAUGACUUCUCCAGUCUGUUUGCUGCAUGUGAUGUUGAGAAUAUCAUUGCCACGUCCCCGGAUCACUACCCUAUACAUGUCUGCCUAGAUCGUGGCUCUCGGCAACGUCGGGUGUCUUCGGUUCAGCAGGGUUUUAGGUUCGAGGCGAUGUGGCUGAGAGCCACGGACUACAAAGAGACUCUGGAACAGGCUUGGUCAGCAGGGAGAGAUAGCCUCCCGUCUCUUCAGUCUACCUGGUCUAACUUGAAACAUGUGGCUUCAUCGCUGCGAUCUUGGAGCAAAGAGGCCUUUGGGUCUGUCCGCAAGAAGAUUGGGCAGUUGGAGCGUCGCUUGGCCACAAUUAGGGCCUCCCCGCCCUCACCGCCCGCCCUGGAGGAAGAACGUCAUAUCGAGAGCUUGUUGUGCGAGCUGUUCGAACGGGAGGAGGUCAUGGAGAGACAACGCUCCAGGGUGGAUUGGCUCAAGGAGGGGGGCCGGAACACCGGGUUUUUUCAAGCCCGGGCGACUGCCAGAAGAAGAACCAACCGGAUCCACUCACUUUCCCGUGAUGAUGGGUCUGUGUGUUCCUCUCAGGGUGAGAUCAAAAGUAUGGUGCAGGCUUACUAUAACAGUUUAUUUACCUCGGUUCCCUGCCUGUACGCCGAGGCUGUCUUGAAUGCUAUCCCA
rnacentral:rRNA from 1 species